GGAGGGUGCAAGCGUUGUUCGGAAUUACUGGGCGUAAAGAGCGUGUAGGCGGUUUGGCAAGUCAGAUGUGAAAGCCCUGGGCUCAACCCAGGAAGUGCAUUUGAAACUGCCAUUCUAGAGUAUGGGAGAGGAGAGUGGAAUUCCCGGUGUAGAGGUGAAAUUCGUAGAUAUUGGGAGGAACACCCGUGGCGAAGGCGACUCUCUGGACCAAUACUGACGCUGAGACGCGAAAGCGUGGGGAGCAAACAGGAUUAGAUACCCUGGUAGUCCACGCCGUAAACGAUGAGAACUAGGUGUAGCGGGUAUUGACCCCUGCUGUGCCGUAGCUAACGCAUUAAGUUCUCCGCCUGGGAGUACGGUCGCAAGGCUA
rnacentral:rRNA from 1 species